rfam:Aureimonas ureilytica strain NS365 contig_99, whole genome shotgun sequence.
CAGAUGGGGACGGCGAUCUCCCCACGAGGCCACGGCCGAAGUAUCGCGUCCCCCAUAUCCAUUGUCAUGGAUGGACGCGGCAUG